UUGCGGGAUGGUGUAAUGGCAGCACGCCUGGUUCUGGUCCAGGAAAUUGGGGUUCGAAUCCCUGUCCCGCAGU
rnacentral:tRNA from 1 species